CAAUCUCAACACCGACCAGCUUCAAUAACCAUUAACCCGCCCCGACCUUCUAACUUGAUCAACAGCUCUAACUCAUCAAAAUCUGUCAAAUCAACCUACAACCAACCUAUCUUAAUCCUCUUCACGCAUCCCACGUGAUGUUGUACCAUGGAAGAUCGGAGAAGCUUCUAGAAAGAGGGUGAGUUAGCUCAUCUAACAUCCAUAUUUAACAAAUUUUGGGGUAAUGGUAUGGAUUAGGUAUAUAUUUAGCGAUUUUUCAUUGGGUCUGGGGGAGAAUUUAUUUAUCACCAAUUCUAUUGGUCCACCAAACUCAAAUUGGUGCGGAUUGAGGACAAAAAUAGAGCUGGCUGGGGGAAUUCAAAAUUAAAAUGGGCUAUUUUUGGAAAUCCCAGGAAUGCCCUUAAUCCCUUCUAUAAAAGGGCUCACGGAGAGCCGAGAAAAGGGUUUGAUUUUCGUGAAUGAAGGUUGGUAAAGAGAGGGAAUCGAAAAAAGAAAAUUAAGAGAGGCAGAAGAGAAUUUUGAGAGGAAAAAUUCCUUUUAGUAGAAAAAUUCUCGUUUCUUUCUUCUUUUGAGAGUUAGAUGAUUAAUUGAAGGGUCUCGAGUUGAUAACACUGAGCUUCGACGGUGGUCGACAUCCUGACAAUUAGCUCGUUUCCUCGUUUAACUGCCCCGAAGGAGGUAAACGCUCUCGUCCUUGUAAUUCUAUUAUUUUUUACUUCAUCCCCCUUUCUCCAUAGAAUUAGUUCAAUUAUUCAGUAAUAAUCAUGAAUGAGGCUGGAUUUUGUCUGUUGUAGAUGGUCGUAAUGGCCUUAGGGGUUCUUUUGUGAUUAUUGUUAUGCCAUCUUGCUGAGGCAGUGCUCAUGUUGUAAUUCUCAAUGCAAUUAUGUCGAAUAUACUGUCUUUUAAUUGACGUUGUUGGUUACCUGAGAGUUUGUGGUAUGAAUCUACAUAUAUAUCAUCAAGAUUCUGCCUUUCGUGUCCCGUUUCCCUUUCUGAUUUAGUGUUUCUUGCUACGUUAGGCUAACUAUUGUUAUAAUCAUUUGAUCCAUGAUUUUUGCCUCACUUUACUUCCCUCGGUUUUGUAAUAUAUUGUUCAAACCUCAAUAUGGUUGGUUAAUUAUUUACCCAUUGUUUCAUUUUACAUGCUACUUAUGGUUUGAUUCACUGUCUCUAUGUUUAAGUAUCCUUAUUUUAGUCUAAGUUACGUCUUCUUGAGUGUACCUUCGCUUUGAUUCACCCCAGUUUUCUUGAGUCUUGUCCUUAAUUCGAGGUCACCGGUGGGGCUUUAGUUCCCUGGAUCAACUGGACUCAGACUACCUCAUAGCUCUUGACUUUUGAGAUUAAUAGAGAUGAUGGGUAUACGUCUUUAGUAAGUUGACAGUCCUAUGAACUCUCGAUGACCCUGCUUUCGACUUUCAAAAAUUUAUUUCUAGUUGAGGCCGGAAAGAGGGUGAGGAGGGCCUCACAGAUGUAUUUCUGAAGUGCGAAUCGCGUUCUUGUUGGGUGUUGACUGAAAAAAGGAGAAAACGUUGUUUUGUUCCUUCUUUGCAAAUAACUUCGCCUAGAUGUUUAUUGUCCUUUUCACUUUCUUGGUUUUAUCGAAUAUGUUUUUUUUAGAGAACCAUUGCUCCUAAAAAAAAUGAUGCGAGUUUUGUAGUCUGAACAGUUCAUUUCUCCUUCCAGAUAUAUGAUCGGGAUGAUAUGCAUAUUUUAACUUAAUUAUAAAUCUGGAUAAGUUGACUUAUGUGGAUUUGUAGUACAUCAAUUACCUGUUGUAGCUUAAAAUUGUGCAGACUUAUGAGUUGAUCGAUUCAAUUAAUUAGGCAUCGAUUGGUUCAUUUCUUCAUCUGAGAUGAUUACCCUUAAGGAUGGGUCAUCUUAUGUAUCGAUUAAGCAACUUUUUAGAGGUUUCUUGAAUUUAUUCUACUGAGUAUUUGUUACAUGUAAUUGAACAUACUCUAGACAUUAGUGAUUGAAGGUUUAAUUAGUUGUCAGGUGUUCCAAACUUUACGAAUCUCUGAUGUUGAACAGUUGCACCAAAAACAUUGGCAUGCUUCAAAUAAUUAGUCCAAAGUGGUUACAGACAUGUGGGUGUUUUAUUAGCUGAAAUGUAAAGUCCAUCUUUAUCUUGCAUAUGGACUCUUCUUCCUGAAUUGAUCUAGACACGCCUCAUUAUUUUCCAUUGGCUAUUGAUUGCUGAUUAGGAUCGUAUUACGUUGUUUCUUUUAGUUAAUCGUGUGUUAAUUCUUAUUUCAUUCUUUGUUGAUCAUGUCUUAAUUACCGUUGUCUUUCCUCCUCGAAUUAACCAUGUAUAAACUAUUCUAGUUUCCUAUUUUGGUGAGCAUGCAUUGAUUUCCUUUAUGUUUCCUUUCUCCUUACCUUUAUUGAAUAUAUAUUAAUGUAUUUUAUUUCUUCUUUCUUUGCAUUUAAAUCCAUUUCGAAGCCCCAAUGGGUUCUUUCCCUUUGCAUCUAAAUGGGCCAUUGAGGCCCACUAUGUCUAUCGAGUCAACCCCAAAAGAAAAUUCAAAGCCGGUUACAUAGCAUAUGGAUACAAGGAGUCAAAAGAAGAGAAAUGGGUUAAAGUCCCAUUCUUGAAGAGACGACAAAACCCGAGCCUCAUUUCUGUUUAUUUAUUUGUUGUGUUUAUUUAUUUAUUGUUGUCGUAUUUAUUUAUUUAUUUAUUUAGUUAUUCAUUUGGGCCUCGAAGCCAAAUCUGUAAACUAAUACAGGUGGAGCAAUUUCGAGCCACGGGCUCGAAAACUAGAUUAGGACAGGUGAAAUGGAUCAAAGGCCCAAUUACUAGGACAGGUCUUAUCGAUUUGGGCAUAAUGGUCUAAAUCCCUUCCUUUCUCCCUUUCCCUAUUUUCUUUAUGCUUGUUUGCCUUACGAGUUUUGUGAACCUAGUGAAAUCCUUAGACAAGUCGCUAAAAAACUGGUUUUGCAUAAACACCAAAAUAUUCCUAAAAUCGCUUUCUUUUCUAAAAUGAACUUCUUUCAAGGUUAAUCAAAGAUGAUUUUCAAACAGAUCGGAUAAGCGCAAGUUAGCAGACGUUUUAGGUGCCUAACACCUUCCUAAAACGUUAAUAGGAACCUCUUACUUAGAAUCUCUAACUUAAACGAUUUUCCUAUUUUGAAUCAUCUAAGUAUUUUAUAAAGGUUUCUUAAUUCCUUUUCAAAAUUAAGUGGCGACUCUUUCAAAAGUCAAAAUUUUCUCCGUAAAACAAUGUCGUCAUCCUAGAAAUUAUAUUUUAUAAAGUUCACAUUCUAACGCAGUUGACAUUAAACCUAUAUGCAGUAGCAUGUUCUGUAUUGAAAGGGAUUCAAUUGAAUCCCUUUCAUCGGAACAAAUAUUUUUGUUUGUUUGUAAAUUGUCGAAUCCCUUUGAUAUAAGGGGAGUGUAUAGUGUGUUGCAUGAAGUGUGUCGAAUAUACUAGUAGGAUACUGAUUCAAAUUUCAAGUGUGAUUCUUUUACCUUUUUUGGAAUCCCCUUGUUAGAAUUGUUGGCUCUGCCUUUACCCAUUUAUACUUGUUAUUUGAUUGCUCAAUUUCUUCCAUUUGUACUCUAUCUAUCUUCUUUUUCUUUUUCUACUUCAUUUCUGCUUUCAGUACCUAAUCAAACCAAUACUCGAAAUAGUUAGUUAAUAGGGCUAAAGAAGUACGUCAAACAACAUCUUCAUUUUGCACCUUUUUGCGUCUCAACAAAUAAAGUAUUAGCAAUAAAUAACAUAUACACCGUAUUAAUAUUUGAGAAGAAAUAACAGUGAAUGAAAAGAAGUUGGUCCUUGGAGUCUAUAUACUGCACCUACUCAUCCAAAAAAGAAAAAAAUAUUUGUGGUUCCUAUGAACAGUAUAGCUCUUGAACUAUAAUGUAGUAGACUCUCUUAGGUUGUAUACUUACUUAUUCUAGUUCCGGAUGUUGCCUUCUUUUGUUAACUCUUUUUGCUUACACUGUUCUAUUGAAGGUAUCCAGCUGACUUAUACAAAAGAGCAAAAAUCGAAUCUAUGCUGGACUAGAAUCAUACUAACUUCUCUCGCAGUUCAGUUGGGUUGCCUUUUAAUCCACAAGCAGCAGCGAAAGCUGAGAAACUCCUUAUAGCUUCUCUUGCACAUAUCGAGUCUGUUUGGCUCCAGAAAAAUGGAUGAUUUUUACAUGGAAGUGGUCAACCAUCAGUUGCAGAUCUUAGCUUAGUGAUAUUAUGCAACUUGAGGCAAACAUCAGUUAGAUUCAUUGGUGAGCUAUUUUGGAGUGUCUUGUUUCCAUGGAUGCAAAGUUCUUUAUUGUUUUCUCAGUUUAGAAGCUUCACUUUCCAAAUGAUUUACUGCACAUCUUCUCAAGCGCAUUGUCUUAUAUUGACUCUCCAUAACUAAGGUAAGCUAUUCUGGUUUCUCUUCCUUUCUUUAUAUGUACAUCUCUCUGAACUUCUAAUUCUCUAGUAUGUACGACAAACUUUCUCAUGUGUAAUUUCAUGUAUCUAUUCGAUGACCUUUGUUUUUGUUUCUGAGUCCACCGGAGGAAGGCGUUGAGGUGAUUGUAAGAGCUUUUACGACCUCAUAAGUGUUGUUCCUAUAUUUUCCUAUAAAAGACAUCAAAGUUUUAACAAAUAACAGAAGUCAAAUAGUCAUACAAUAUAGUUUAAUUACAGAUUACUUUAAAAGAAAAAGCAAAAUAUAUCUAAGUAGAUUAAAUGUAGAAGGAUAUAGUUACCUAUAAAUUAGAGAAGACUUCUUUAUACACUACAUUUGUAGUUUCAUUUGUUAUUCUCUCAUCUUCAUCAUAACAUAAGAUCUUCAGCCCUUUUCUAGAUGUUAUGCGAGAAAGGGCAACAUAUAGUUGUCCAUGAGUAAACACAGGCUUUUUAAAAAAUAAUUUCACACUGCACAAUGAUUGAUCUUGACUUUUAUUAAUGGUCAUGGCAAAAUAUACGAUCACUGGAAAUUACCUUCAUUGGAAUUUAAAAAGAAUCCGUGAAUCAGAUGGAGUAAGUGACAUUCUUAGAAUAAAAAUUUUGUUGUCAGAUUUUUCUCCAAAUAACACUUUCACUUCAAUUACCCAAUUUCCGAGUCUUAUGAUGAUUAAUCGUAUGCCGUUACACAAUUCUAUUGAUUGAUGUAUAUUUCUUUGCAACAUCACGAGAACACCUACCUUCAAAGUGAUAGAGUGAUUUGGAAUACCUGAGCAUUUAAUACUAUUUAGGAAUUCAGGUGUAUGCACAUGUCCCAAAGAUGUAAAUGAAUGAUCAGACAUAUAAACUGUAUCAGAACUAAAAUAUGACUUUUCCUGUCCACAAUUGAGAGAAACCAUGUAAUCAUUCAC